GGCUCUGUGGUGCAAUGGAUAGCGCAUUGGACUUCUAGGCUGUGGGUUCGAGUCCCACCAGAGUCG
rnacentral:tRNA from 1 species